rnacentral:rRNA from 1 species
UACGUAGGGUCCAAGCGUUAAUCGGAAUUACUGGGCGUAAAGCGUGCGCAGGCGGUUGUGUAAGUCAGAUGUGAAAUCCCCGGGCUCAACCUGGGAAUUGCAUUUGUGACUGCACGGCUAGAGUGUGUCAGAGGGGGGUAGAAUUCCACGUGUAGCAGUGAAAUGCGUAGAUAUGUGGAGGAAUACCGAUGGCGAAGGCAGCCCCCUGGGAUAACACUGACGCUCAUGCACGAAAGCGUGGGGAGCAAACAGG